CCCUACUCGAACAGAACCAAAACCAUCUCCAUUUCUUCUCUUCAUCCUCUACAACGCCACUUGCAUCCCUCUCCAUCAAAUUCAUCCGCCCGACCAUCUCUGCUCACACCCGCCUCCAUAAACACAAUCAAACUCUUACUCUUUAUCUCUCUCCAUCUUAUCAUAAACAGUAACCCUAGAAGCUAAGAUUGAAAGAGAUAAGAUUAGGGUUAGCUGGAAAGUAAGCUUGCAGAGACAAAUUGAAGAUAUAAAUUGUCAGAAAACGCGUUUUGGGUACCUGCAAUACUAUUGCGAACUACAAGGAGGAGAAGAAAAAGGAGCAGGGCAUUUUGCUGUAGUGCCUAAACCCGGUUUUAUACCGGCGUGUUUUUGCAGGUAUUGCAAGACUCAUUAAGGGUGAUGAUGCGAAGUUUUUGGCUCGCUAUAGCAAGUAUAUCUACGUCAAUCGAAAUAAUGAAGUUGAGAUUUGGGUUGUUCGAAAUGGUUUCAAGGUUGUUGUGAAGUUGGGAAUUCAAAAGCUCGAAUCAAAAGUGACCCGACUCUCACAAUCCAGUCAUGUGAAUAUGGUAUCGGACCACCAUGAAAAAUGUAACAACUUGUUGAAGACAUUAACAGUUUGAAGGCCAAGUUGUCUAGUAUAGUUUUAUAGAAAAUCAAAUCACGUUGUUGAUUAUUUGGCAAAGUUGGAGUACGAAAAAACUUAAAGGAAGAUGGGUGGAUAACCCACCUGGUAGGAUAGUGAGUUUUUUUGAUAGAUAGCCUGUGUGGUAGAAUUACUCCUCAUAUUGUUUGGAGGAUAUCUAUUUAGCAGCUAGGUGUAUUUAGACUCUAGUGUAUUAAAAAAUAAAUGACUGAAAUAAAAUACGAGUAGAUUAAUAAUAAAAGACGGAUCCCUUGACAACCCCCUUAUUUGGUAAAGUACCAAAAUAUGGCAAGAGUCCGAUAACAAAUCAUAGACGGUCAUAAUCGAAAAGUUUCCAUUAAAUAUUUGAUUGAAAGCUUCCCGAUCUUAACCGUCUAUGAUUUGUUUUCGGACUUAUCAUACUUUUGUAAAGUCUAUCAAAUAAAAGGGUUGUCAAGGGAUCCCCCGUCUGCUAACAAUGGUUUACCAGAUAUUCCUCACCAGACGCUAAGCAACAGAGGUAUCUUUACUGUUAAGUCUUUAUAUAACAAUAUUAAUUGUACAGGAGAAACUAACAUUCAGUGGAACAGAAUUUGGGAAAUGAAAAUAACUCCUUCAAUCAAAAUCUUUAUCUGGAAGGAAACACACUCUAUACUUCCAAAUAGUGUGAGAGUUACUGCCAUGAUACCGGAAAUAGACGUCUGUUGCAAAUUCUGUAAUGUAGAGGAUGAAUCUCUUACUCAUUUAUUCAUGAAAUGCAACUUCACAGAACAGGUAUGGAUGCAUCUUAAUUUUGAUGUUGACAAUGUAAUGCAAAAUGAUAACACUUUUCAUGAUUGGUUAAAUGGUUGGUUUACUCAAGUAGAUAGAGAAAACAAUGUAAUUAAAUGGAAGGUUUUUUUUGUAGUAUCGUAACAUGGCAUGUUUGGAAAGCAAGAUGUAAUCGUGUAUUCAAAAAAGAAAUUCAAAAUAGUACUGUAAC